AUUGAACGCUGGCGGCAGGCCUAACACAUGCAAGUCGAGCGGAUGAAGGGAGCUUGCUCCUGGAUUCAGCGGCGGACGGGUGAGUAAUGCCUAGGAAUCUGCCUGGUAGUGGGGGAUAACGUCCGGAAACGGGCGCUAAUACCGCAUACGUCCUGAGGGAGAAAGUGGGGGAUCUUCGGACCUCACGCUAUCAGAUGAGCCUAGGUCGGAUUAGCUAGUUGGUGGGGUAAAGGCCUACCAAGGCGACGAUCCGUAACUGGUCUGAGAGGAUGAUCAGUCACACUGGAACUGAGACACGGUCCAGACUCCUACGGGAGGCAGCAGAGGGGAAUAUUGGACAAUGGGCGAAAGCCUGAUCCAGCCAUGCCGCGUGUGUGAAGAAGGUCUUCGGAUUGUAAAGCACUUUAAGUUGGGAGGAAGGGUAGUAAGUUAAUACCGUGCUGUUUUGACGUUACCAACAGAAUAAGCACCGGCUAACUUCGUG
rnacentral:rRNA from 1 species